UACGGGGGGAGCAAGCGUUGUUCGGAUUUACUGGGCGUAAAGGGCGCGUAGGCGGCGUGGUAAGUCACUUGUGAAAUCUCUGAGCUUAACUCAGAACGGCCAAGUGAUACUGCUGUGCUAGAGUGCAGAAGGGGCAAUCGGAAUUCUUGGUGUAGCGGUGAAAUGCGUAGAUAUCAAGAGGAACACCUGAGGUGAAGACGGGUUGCUGGGCUGACACUGACGCUGAUGCGCGAAAGCCAGGGGAGCAAACGGG
rnacentral:rRNA from 1 species